CCUACGGGAGGCAGCAGUGGGGAAUAUUGCACAAUGGGGGAAACCCUGAUGCAGCGACGCCGCGUGAGUGAAGAAGUAUUUCGGUACGUAAAGCCCUAUCAGCAGGGAAGAAAAUGACGGUACCUGACUAAGAAGCCCCGGCUAACUACGUGCCAGCAGCCGCGGUAAUACGUAGGGGGCAAGCGUUAUCCGGAUUUACUGGGUGUAAAGGGAGCGUAGACGGCAGCGCAAGUCUGGAGUGAAAUCCCAUGGCUUAACCAUGGAACUGCUUUGGAAACUGUGCAGCUAGAGUGCAGGAGAGGUAAGCGGAAUUCCUAGUGUAGCGGUGAAAUGCGUAGAUAUUAGGAGGAACACCAGCGGCGAAGGCGGCUUACUGGACUGUAACUGACGUUGAGGCUCGAAAGCGUGGGGAGCAAACAGGAUUAGAUACCCGAGUAGUC
rnacentral:rRNA from 1 species